AGCCACAUCAUGUUGAAACACCGGUUCCCGUACGAUCACUGAAGGUAAGCAACGUCAAGCCUAGUCAGUACCAAGAUGGGUGACCGUUUGGGAAUACCAGGUGCUGUAAG